rnacentral:rRNA from 1 species
UACGUAGGGUGCGAGCGUUAGUCGGAAUUACUGGGCGUAAAGCGUGCGCAGGCGGUUUUGUAAGACAGAUGUGAAAUCCCCGGGCUUAACCUGGGAACUGCAUUUGUGACUGCAAGGCUAGAGUACGGCAGAGGGGGGUAGAAUUCCACGUGUAGCAGUGAAAUGCGUAGAUAUGUGGAGGAAUACCGAUGGCGAAGGCAGCCCCCUGGGUCGAUACUGACGCUCAUGCACGAAAGCGUGGGGAGCAAACAGG